rnacentral:rRNA from 1 species
CACGUAGGGCGCAAGCGUUGUCCGGAAUUAUUGGGCGUAAAGAGCUCGUAGGCGGUCUGUUGCGUCUGCUGUGAAAACUCGGGGCUUAACCCCGAGCCUGCAGUGGAUACGGGCAGACUAGAGGUAGGUAGGGGAGAAUGGAAUUCCCAGUGUAGCGGUGAAAUGCGUAGAUAUUGGGAGGAACACCAGUGGCGAAGGCGGCUCGCUGGACCGGAACUGACGCUGAGGCGCGAAAGCGUGGGGAGCAAACAGG